AUGUCGUCCGCCGGCGAUCCAUCAAUGUCCGCCUCCACCAUCGUCGCGGACACGGCGAGCGGCUGCCACAUACUAAAAAUCGAUGGUUACUCGCACACCAAGGGGACUCCCACCGGGGAGGCCAUCAAAUCCGGCAAGUUCACCGUGGGCGGCCAUCGCUGGUUCAUCAAUUAUUACCCCAACGGCAUCAACUCCGACGCCGCGGAUCACGCAUCCUUUUACCUCCUACUCGACGAAGUCAAGGUGCAGCUCUGUGUUAAUUUCGCCAGCCUCCUUACUAGGAAACGGCCGAUCACACCGGCCGAUCCUGUGUGGAGUUUCACACCAGGAAACAAUUGGGGGUAUACAAAGUUCGUCAAGAGGGAAGACCUGGAGAGAUCAGAGCACCUGACCAACGACGCUUUCACAGUCAGGUGUGACGUGGUCGUCAUCAACGAGAUCCGCACCGAGGACGCACCCACCGUCCGCAACCCGUUUGUCACCGCCGUGCCACAAUCCAACCUGAUCCAGCACCUUGCCGACUUACUCAGGAGCGAGAAGGGCGCCGAUGUGGUGUUUGAGGUCGGCGGCGACACUUUCUCCGCGCAUCGGUGCGUUCUCGCCGCCCGGUCACUGGUCUUCAAUGCAGAGCUCUUCGGUGCAAUGAAGAAGGGUGGCAGCGGCAGCAUCGUGCGUGUUGCCGACAUGGAGGCGCGGGUGUUCAAGGCGCUGCUCUCUUUCGUGUACACCGACUCCUUGCCGGAGACAGAGGAUGAAGAGGACCAAGGCACCAUGUUCCAGCAUGUACUUGUCGCGGCUGACAGGUACGACUUUGGGCGGCUCAAGCUGAAUUGCGAGGAAAAGCUGUGCGCGCAUAUUGAUGUGUUCACGGAGGCGACCAUUCUAGCGAUCGCGGAGCAGCACCGCUGCCAUGGGCUGAAGAAAUCUUGCAUUGAGUUCCUCAGCACCCCCGCACAUAUGCUGGCAGCUGAUCAGGAUGUGUGUGGCGCCUGUCAAGACCUCCCUCGCCAGUCGUAA
rnacentral:rRNA from 1 species